rnacentral:rRNA from 1 species
GACGAACGCUGGCGGCGUGCCUAAUACAUGCAAGUUGAGCGAUGAAGAGUGGUGCUUGCACCCAUUUGUAAAGAAGCGCACGCGUGAGUAAAACGUCGGGAAUCUGCCUUGGAGCGGGGGACAACAUUUGGAAACCAAUGCUAAUACCGCAUAACAACUUUAAACAUAAAUUUGAAGACUGAAAGAUGCAAUUGCAUCACUCAAGGAUGAUCCCGCGUUGUAUUAGCUAGUUGGUGAGGUAAAGGCUCACCAAGGCGCUGAUACCUAGCCGAGCUGGGACGGUGAACGGCCAAAUUGGGACUGGGAAAAGGCUCAAACUCCUACGGGGAGGAGCAGUAGGGGAUCUUCGGACAUGGAGGAAAGGCUGGACGAACCACGCCGGGUGAGUGAAGAAGGGUCUCGGAGCGUAAAACUACUUUGGUCGGGAAGAAAGUGAGUGAGAUUAGAACGUUUAUUAAGUGACGGUAACUGCAGAGAAAGCGACGGCUAACUACGUG